UACGUAGGGGGCAAGCGUUGUCCGGAUUUACUGGGCGUAAAGAGCGUGUAGGCGGCCAAACAGGUCCGUUGUGAAAACUGGAGGCUUAACCUCCAGCUGUCGAUGGAAACCAUCUGGCUAGAGUCCGGAAGAGGAGAGUGGAAUUCCUGGUGUAGCGGUGAAAUGCGCAGAUAUCAGGAAGAACACCCGUGGCGAAGGCGGCUCUCUGGGACGGUACUGACGCUGAGACGCGAAAGCGUGGGGAGCGAACAGG
rnacentral:rRNA from 1 species